UACGGAGGAUGCAAGCGUUAUCCGGAAUGAUUGGGCGUAAAGCGUCCGCAGGUGGCUGUGUAAGUCUGCUGUUAAAUAGUGAGGCUCAACCUCAUAAAGGCAGUGGAAACUACACGGCUAGAGUGCGUUCGGGGCAGAGGGAAUUCCAGGUGUAGCGGUGAAAUGCGUAGAUAUCUGGAGGAAUACCGGUGGCGAAGGCGGCAUCCUGGACCGACAUUGACGCUGAGGAGCGAAAGCUAGGGGAGCAAACGGG
rnacentral:rRNA from 1 species